GUGGUAAGGGGGGCGGCACCAGAGGCCAUCAUAGUUCCGGAGAAGUUGGGAGAAGUUGCGGUGUAGUUGGUUGCUGUAGGCGUAGGUGAAGUGAUAAGGCAUGUCGGCGCUCGAAGAGUUAUUGGCGGCGGAGCGCGCAGCAGCGGAGCAGCAUGGCUCCGACUGGCUGUGGGAUCGUUUUCGCAGUUUGGUGCCGGGAGCGGAGGUGUCGGGUCUGCUGUGUCCGCAGUGGCUCUGGAGCGUGGCCUUGGGGUCUCAUUAGAUCUGGUUCGGCGGUCCGUGAGUAGCGGUUUGCGUUCCUGUUUGGCAUGGAUUUUUGGCCAUUCUUAUGUGUACUGGGGAGCGUUGAGAGCGGAUGUGAGGAGAAGUGGUCGGCAGUUGGGUUUCCAGCCGGAUGAGUUGCAGGUCCGGUGGAUUGGUGUGCGGGGUAUGUUGUGGGGCCGCGUGUUGCCUGAAUUUCAUGCUUUUGUCUCAUUGGAUAGGUGCCCGGAUAUUGUGGUUUUGCACGUGGGCGGGAAUGACUUGGGCGUUCGCCGCUCGAGGGAUGUGAUCAGGGACAUCAAGCUGGAUUUGUUACGUCUAAUGGAGGAAUUCCCGGAUUUGUUGGUAGUGUGGUCGGAGGUGGUAGCCAGGAGUUUGUGGCGUUUUGCGAGGUCGGUGGACCGGAUCAACAAGGCUAGGGCGAAGUUGAAUAAGGAGGUGGGGCGUUUUGUGCGGAGGCAAGGUGGUUUUGUGGUUCGACAUAGGGAGUUGGAGGUGGCGUCGCCUCAGUUCCUUAGGUCGGACGGGGUGCAUUUGAAUGAGAUUGGCAUUGAUUUGUGGGCACUAGGGCUGCAGGAUGGUUUGGAAACAGCAUUCAGGGUGUGGCGGGACGCCCAUAGGUGAGGUGUCCCCGAUGUGCGUCUGUGGCUGGUUAACAGGGGGGUCCUGGAAGGCAAUACUAUGUUUAGUAGGUGCAUGACACGUUGGAACGUGCAUCUAUGUGGUUCGGUAAGCUGAAAGCUGGGGGCUCCUGUUGGGCUGGAAGGCCUACAGGGGUAGAGGAAUAUAUGGUUCUGGAGGAUUUGGUGCCCUUGGGUCGGCGAGUGCGGCCGAGGGUAAGGAUGGAGAUGUGUGGAGUGAAGAUCGCAGCUUGCUAGGGUUGCCUUCUAGGAUCCUUCCAAUAAGUGAAUGU